rnacentral:rRNA from 1 species
GAUGAACGCUGGCGGCGUGCCUAAUACAUGCAAGUCGAGCGAACGGACGAGAAGCUUGCUUCUCUGAUGUUAGCGGCGGACGGGUGAGUAACACGUGGAUAACCUACCUAUAAGACUGGGAUAACUUCGGGAAACCGGAGCUAAUACCGGAUGAUAUUUUGAACCGCAUGGUUCAAAAGUGAAAGACGGUCUUGCUGUCACUUAUAGAUGGAUCCGCGCUGCAUUAGCUAGUUGGUAAGGUAACGGCUUACCAAGGCAACGAUGCAUAGCCGACCUGAGAGGGUGAUCGGCCACACUGGAACUGAGACACGGUCCAGACUCCUACGGGAGGCAGCAGUAGGGAAUCUUCCGAAAUGGGCGAAAGCCUGACGGAGAAACGCCGCGUGAGUGAUGAAGGUCUUCGGAUCGUAAAACUCUGUUAUUAGGGAAGAACAUAUGUGUAAGUAACUGUGCACAUCUUGACGGUACCUAAUCAGAAAGCCACGGCUAACUACGUG